GUGUCUGUAGCCUAGUGGCAAAAGGCAGCACUCUAGUAUGUGUCUUGGCUAUCACGCCAAGGUUGUGGGUUUGAAUCCUACCAGACACA